rnacentral:misc_RNA from 1 species
GCGGGGGCAGAGGUGAACAGCAAGUAUGACUGAUGGAUAUUCCGGAAGUGAUCUUAAGAAUCUUUGUGUUACAGCGGCAUAUCAACCCAUUAGAGAAAUCCUAGAAAAAGAAAAAAAGGAACAUGCUGCAGCUAUGGCAGAAGGUAGACCUACACCAACACCAUGCGGUGGUGCAGACAUACGACCUUUGAACAUGGACGAUUUCAAAAAUGCUCACGAGCGGGUUUGUGCAAGUGUUUCAUCGGAAUCCAUAAAUAUGACGGAGCUUCUUCAGUGGAAUGAACUGUAUGGAGAGGGGGGCUCUAGAAGGAAGAAGUCCUUGAGUUAUUUUAUGUAAAAGUUGUUCAUAUUGUACAUUGAUGUCUUAAGGAAGUUCUUAAAAAUGUGAUCUCCUCAGGCUCAGGUCAAGGUCAGUCGCCGCCCUUUGUGGUUUUCCAUGACACCCUGGAAGUUUUUGUACAAUGAGUAUAGGUCUCUUAAGUUAUACAUGAGUUUUGAGAUGUAAUGAGGAUGGAGUAGCCCUCUAGGAAUAGGUAGUAUCUCCACCUUCAUUUUCUUUACCCUCUUUCUCACAACGAGCAGAAAGAUGUCCGAGGUUCUUAUUUUAAUGCAGCUGCUACUGUUGCUAUUCGUUAUAUGUCAAGUUGGAAGCAAAUAAUAUGCAAGUCUUGUCGUUGUUUUAGAUACUGACUUGGUUCUUUGGAUAUCUAGUUGUUGAUGAGCUUGUACUUGCCGAGUUCCAGCAAAAAUACAAUGAAA